rnacentral:misc_RNA from 1 species
GAUGAAGAACGUAGCGAAUUGCGAUAAGUAGUGUGAAUUGCAGAAUUCAGUGAAUCAUCGAAUCUUUGAACGCACAUUGCGCCCGCCAGUAUUCUGGCGGGCAUGCCUGUUCGAGCGUCAUUUCAACCAUCAAGCCCCCGGCUUGUGUUGGGGACCUGCGGCUGCCGCAGGCCCUGAAAACCAGUGGCGGGCUCGCUAGUCACUCCGAGCGUAGUAAUACAUCUCGCUCAGGGCGUGCUGCGGGUUCCGGCCGUUAAAAAGCCUUAUUUACCCAAGGUUGACCUCGGAUCAGGUAGGAAGACCCGCUGAACUUAAGCAUAUCAAUAAGCGGAGGA